UCCCACAACAAGCUGGGGCGUGGGAAGCAGAGGCAGAGUGGGAUUGAUGAAGGGGGAAGGGACUGCUUUCCACACCUGCCGGGUGUUGGGAGGUCCGUGCCUCUCAGUAGGGGACGGUCCCACAUGGGGUUGGAUGUCAGGAGAUCUUGCUAAAAAGGGACAGAUUCCAAGGUGGUCUGAGACACAGCCCAGCGAAACUUGAAAUCCUGCAUCACCCUUGCCUGAAUGGACACCAGAGAGGGGAGCCUUUGGGCAGUUGCUCUUUUGAGAUGAUCCAGGGGUAUUCGGGGAGAAGAAGGGGGAAACCGAGGCAGCUGGGUGGCUUCCCAUGUCCACCAGCAGCUCUUGGAGGGAGGGAGCUUUCCUCCUGGGGGCUGAACUCUUUGGAGGAUGCCUGCUCAUGCCUGCCCCCCAGGACCCCUGGACCAGAGUUUUGAACACAAUGAGUGACAUAGGUUCUGAGGUCUGCUGGGCUUGAGAUUGGAGGCUGGAUCUGCAGUGACCCCUUGAGCAAGAUACUUCACCUCUCCGAACCUCUGUUUCCUCAUCUGUGAAGUGGAGAUAUGAGCUUGUGUGCGGGGAACAUCAGCCUUUGCAGUGCCUGGCAGUGGUGGCUCUAAAAGACGGCCGCUGUGAGCUCCAGAAGCAACCUUGAAGCCUUGGGCAGCACAGCGGAGAGAAAGCAGGGCCACGUACACUGAAUUUCGCCACAGACAAGAGGCCGACAAAGGGGAAAUGGGCUCCGAAAGGAAGAGGCAGCAGGGUGGUCUGGUUCAGCGUCUUUCGCUGUCUGCCCCAAGCCUCCCUGCCUGGCUCGAGCCUGCAAUGGGGUACCCUCUCCCACCUUCUGAAAUCUGGCUUCCGGCCGAGAGGAGAACACCUCCCCAGAUGAGCCACACCUUGGGGGGGACCCCCAUCUUCUCCCCUCCCUUUUGGCCUAAAUGCCAACCAGGAGCAAAUGUGACCCCCUGAACUUACGGGAGAGGUGCACACAAUGGGAAGGGGCAUUUCAUGCCCGAGUGUAGAUGUGGCUUUUGCCCUGACAUCCAAGGCUUCAGUUAUUGUCUGAGUGUGUAGCAGAUGUAGGUGCCCAGGGACAAGUGGGACCCCAGGAGAGACCACCCCCCCACCCUCAGAGAUCUCCUUGGCCAGCCUGCCGUGAUGCCCAAAUUUCCCGUCACCAUUUGUCACUCUUCGGCACGAAGGCCUGGUCAGCGUGUCCUUGUUCGGUGUAAACUGGCUACCUAGCAGGAGUUAACAUAUUAAUCUGCCAACACCCAUUCAUCAUUGGUUUUCAUAUCAGCGGAGAGCAAGGCGAUGAGGUAAUGGAACGUGGGACAGGUGAAUUUUGAUGAGGAAUGAGCAGGAGAAACUGAACAAGAGUCACAGCUGGUGAGAAAUGGCUCAGAAGGGGC